UACGAAGGGGGCUAGCGUUGUUCGGAAUUACUGGGCGUAAAGCGCACGUAGGCGGACAUUUAAGUCAGGGGUGAAAUCCCGGGGCUCAACCCCGGAACUGCCUUUGAUACUGGGUGUCUUGAGUCCGGAAGAGGUGAGUGGAAUUCCGAGUGUAGAGGUGAAAUUCGUAGAUAUUCGGAGGAACACCGGUGGCGAAGGCGGGUCUCUGGGCAGUAACUGACGCUGAGGAGCGAAAGCGUGGGGAGCGAACAGG
rnacentral:rRNA from 1 species